GAUGAACGCUAGCGAUAGGCUUAACACAUGCAAGUCGAGGGGCAGCAUGGUCUUAGCUUGCUAAGACUGAUGGCGACCGGCGCACGGGUGCGUAACGCGUAUGCAACUUGCCUCACAGAGGGGGAUAACCCGUCGAAAGACGGACUAAUACCGCGUACACUCCAUCUUGGGCAUCCAAGGUAGAGGAAAUGAAAUUCGCUGUGAGAUAGGCAUGCGUCCCAUUAGCUAGUUGGUGAGGUAACGGCUCACCAAGGCGACGAUGGGUAGGGGAACUGAGAGGUUGAACCCCCACACUGGUACUGAGACACGGACCAGACUCCUACGGGAGGCAGCAGUGAGGAAUAUUGGUCAAUGGGCGAGAGCCUGAACCAGCCAAGUCGCGUGAAGGAUGACUGUCUUAUGGAUUGUAAACUUCUUUUAUACGGGAAUAACAAGAGUCACGUGUGACUCCCUGCAUGUACCGUAUGAAUAAGCAUCGGCUAACUCCGUGCCAGCAGCCGCGGUAAUACGGAGGAUGCGAGCGUUAUCCGGAUUUAUUGGGUUUAAAGGGUGCGUAGGCGGCCUGUUAAGUCAGCGGUGAAAUCUAGGAGCUUAACUCCUAAAUUGCCAUUGAUACUGGCGGGCUUGAGUGUAGAUGAGGUAGGCGGAAUGCGUGGUGUAGCGGUGGAAUGCAUAGAUAUCACGCAGAACUCCGAUUGCGAAGGCAGCUUACUAAGGUACAACUGACGCUGAAGCACGAAAGCGUGGGUAUCAAACAGG
rnacentral:rRNA from 1 species